CUCUCGAUCCCCGACCACCUGCCCAGCUGACAGCCCCGGCACCGCGGCUGCUCGCCCGGGGGGCGGAAUGGCAGCGGCGCAAGCUGGCGAUGCGCAGCAGUAGGGCUGGGGGAGGAAACCCAGCACCAGCCCCCGGCUUGGGCUGCCCGGGGGGAGCCGCAGGCUCGGGAGGUGCCGGCAGGGGAGCGGUGGGUGCCGUGCCGAGCCGUGCCGGGUUAUCAGCGCCGAGAGGGGCAGCCGCCGGGCUCGCCGCCUCGUCUCCCCCAGCCAUGAAUCCCAGCGAAGGGGCGGCGGAGGAAGGCGCUGUCCCCGACUCCGAGGUGGAUGCUUUCUUCCGAACAGGUAUUCAAGAACCCGAUAUCCAACCAAACACAAACAACCAAACAACCCAGAACCUCCAACAACAGAAGCCUUUUGUUUGGCUCCUUUUCUAUUUUUACUGGUGGCAUGAAAACCUGAAGAGUACCUUGAUAGAAAGCAAAUACGUGUAGCUGUUUGACUUCAUCCCUGUCAAAUCAAUGUUGCUGGACCUUCACCCCAAUCGAUGUUGCUGGACCUUUGAAUUCUUGAUCUGCAC
rnacentral:lncRNA from 1 species